rnacentral:rRNA from 1 species
CCUACGGGAGGCAGCAGUGAGGAAUAUUGGUCAAUGGACGAGAGUCUGAACCAGCCAAGUAGCGUGAAGGAUGACUGCCCUAUGGGUUGUAAACUUCUUUUAUAAAGGAAUAAAACGAGGCACGUGUGCCUUUUUGCAUGUACUUUAUGAAUAAGGAUCGGCUAACUCCGUGCCAGCAGCCGCGGUAAUACGGAGGAUCCGAGCGUUAUCCGGAUUUAUUGGGUGUAAAGGGAGCGUAGAUGGGGUGUUAAGUCAGUUGUGAAAGUUUGCGGCUCAACCGUAAAAUUGCAAUUGAUACUGGGAGUCUUGAGUACAGUUGAGGUAGGCGGAAUUCGUGGUGUAGCGGUGAAAUGCUUAGAUAUCACGAAGAACCCCGAUUGCGAAGGCAGCUUACUAAACUGUGACUGACAUUGAUGCUCGAAAGUGUGGGUAUCAAACAGGAUUAGAUACCCCGGUAGUC